UAAAGAAUUUUUCAUUUGUAUUGUAUUUUAUUCGUAUAGUUCUAAACAUAUUUUCACUUUACCCUUUGUUUGGUUAUAGCUGACAAGUCUUUGUGUCCAUCGUCUGUCAUUAUUACUGAUGCUUAAUUAAGCGCUUGACGUAUUCCGGGAUCGCAGACAAGAAUAGUCUCUUUUUAGAUACUACAUGAAUAAACCACGUGAUGCCUUGCAAUCACUACCUUAAAUAGUUGAGAUAUUGAAUAGGUCAGAUUUUUAUCAAAAGUAGGUCAAACUUCCAGGUCAAAAUCUCAAGACUGAACACCGUUACAUCACAUGAAAGAACUUUUCUUAAAGAAUGUAUAUACAAAAUAUAAAAGCCUUAGCUUAAAUAGUUCAAGAGAUAUUUUUUAAAAUGAUCUUUCCUAUAUACUUGUAUGUAAACACUCAAAGUCAAUAAAAGCGUGCAAUCGAUGUCGCCGGCACUUUAUUAGAAAAUAAGCUAUACCAAAUCAUAUAUUUUGUGUGCUAUACAUUCAUGGACCCAUAGCCUCCCUAGGCAUGGUAUACUUUUUAUUUCCUCUUUACUUAUAAACUUGGUAGGAAGCGUAGAUACCCCAAUUUUGUAACGUACGUGACUGUCGCCGACUCAAUUUUUAAAAUUGAACAAGCAAAUAUAAAAAUCUGAGAGCGUGUUUUUAAAUUUUCGUUGCGUUAAUAUCAUUUGUAUUUCCUAAAUUUUCAUUCAAUAAAAGUUUAACAACUUUUGCGUAUGAUUUUAAGCAGUGGUGUAUAUAUUACUCCAUGUCGCCAGAUUAUAUUAUGUGAUCAUAGGGUCAAUUAAACACCCAAUGUAUGGACAAAGAUUUCGUAUUAUCUUUAUGUUUUUGAUCUAUUUUGGCGCUAAAAUAUUCAAAAACUGUGUGAAAAUAUUCAUCAAGCGAUAUUUGGAUGUGGCAUUGAGAAGAAGUCAUCAUAUUCUCAAAAUUUCGAAUUCUGAUUUUAGAAAUGUAACAUACGAUACACUAAUUUUUUUUAUGAAAACGUAUUUGCAGAGCAAAUGUUACCCCUUUUAUGAAAAUCUCGUAGUGUACAGAGAAUGAAAAUAUAAACAUUUCUUUUGCAGAAGUCAUUGGUUGGUCUGAAAUUUGACAAACGUGUCAAGAUGUAACAUUCGUGAUGUAACAUUCGUUACCGAGAAAUUAAUUAAAGGGAAUGAUAGAACAAUUUCCAGCGUAUUUUUGCUCUCUCUCUGCAUGAUGUGGUAUACGACAUGAACGUCUACUAUGAACAUUUGAGUUUGAAAGUCAAUACGUGUUAAACUUUGAGAAUUAGGAUUAAUUUUCUCUUACGAAAUGGCGCUUGUGAGAGUAGAAGUACAGAAUAACUACCAUGAAAAAAAAUGUAUUAAAACAUAAGAACAACCACGAAAAAA